UUUGAGGAAUUUUAUGUACAAUAAUAAACUCGAUUUUAUUUUAAGCUUUCAGAAAGUAACGCUGAAAUAAUAUUCAAUUUUAAUAAAUGUGAGGAAUUGUUUUGAUUAGAUAAUAUUUAUGACGUCCAGAUCACGAUGUUUUUGCUAUAUAAAUUGAAUCGCUAGCCAUACUUGUAUAAAGACAUAUUAUCAGAAAAUUUUGGAUUAGUUCUUCAUAAGUCUGCAACGAUGAAUACCCAAAUAUAUCUAUUUUUAUUGGUUGCCAUUUUUGCGAUUGUUUCGAUCUUUGACGUCAUGGCCGAACCAUCAGCUGAAGCCGAGGUUGUUUCGCCUGCACGAUCUAAAAGGGAUCUUUUGAAUUCUCUUGUGGAAGGUUUACAUGGACUUCUAGUAAAUGUAUUAGGCCUUUAAACUACAAUACACUGAAGAUGAUUUAGGCUACCAAAAAUCCAUAUGUAAUUGAUUAUAACACUAUAUAUUUAGCAAAAUUGUCAAUUAUUACAAAUAUUCUAUGAUAAUGUCUAUAUUAUUGUCAAAAAUUGCACAAAAUAAUAUUUUUCGUAUCGGAAUUAUAUAUAUUGUAAUUCUGUAAUUAUUAUUUUAUUAUCUUGUACUAAAAUAUAUAUUGUGUUGAAAUAAAUAUGCUGCAAAAGUA